UACGGAGGGUGCAAGCGUUACUCGGAAUUACUGGGCGUAAAGGGCGCGUAGGCGGCUCGGCAAGCCGGAUGUGAAAGCCCCGGGCUCAACCCGGGAACGGCAUUCGGAACUGCCAGGCUAGAGCGCAGGAGAGGAAGGUAGAAUUCACGGUGUAGCGGUGAAAUGCGUAGAGAUCGGGAGGAAUACCAGUGACGAAGGCGGCCUUCUGGACUGACACUGACACUGAGGUGCGAAAGCGUGGGUAGCAAACAGG
rnacentral:misc_RNA from 1 species